CACUGCACAACCCGUCCGCCAGUCUGGGGACAAAUUCCAGAUCUGGAGUGUCCUGAGACUGCCAGUAGCUCUGAGCCCUUCACUUGACACCUACACAUGCGUGGUGGAACAUGAGGCCUCACAGACCAAGCUUAAUGCCAGCAAGAGCCUGGAAAUCAGUGGAUGCUACCACCUCCUGCCUGAGUCCGACGGCCCUCCCAGGAGACCUGAUGGUCCUGCCUUUCCCUGAGACCUUUCUGUGUCUGCUUAGCUUAUUUGCCUCUGUGUUAAGUUGCUUCAUAAAAGCAAAAACCAUUGCCUUUCCACUUCUCAUUAUGUUGUAGAAAAGCACUUCUGUAAAUUACAGUAAGAAGUGAACAAUAAUAAAUGAAACAAACAAACAUGAA
rnacentral:lncRNA from 1 species